GACGGGGGGGCAAGUGUUCUUCGGAAUCACUGGGCGUAAAGGGCGCGUAGGCGGGGAGGUAAGUCGGGUGUGAAAUCCCUCGGCCCAACCGAGGAACUGCGCCCGAGACUGCUUCUCUUGAGUCCCGGAGAGGAAGAUGGAAUUCCCGGUGUAGCGGUGAAAUGUGUAGAGAUCGGGAGGAACACCGGUGGCGAAGGCGGUCUUCUGGACGGUGACUGACGCUGAGGCGCGAAAGCGUGGGGAGCAAACGGG
rnacentral:rRNA from 1 species